CCAGAAUAUCAUGUCGUGUCCGUGACCUGCGCUGCAUGACCCUUGGGUCUGGCUCUGCCCCUGGCGUCUCACGAUUCGUGUUGGUGUGGGUCCGUCAGUAGUUGGGUCCUCACGUUGCCGAGGCGUGCUCCGUGUGAGGCUGCUCCAGUGUUGUGUCCCUUCUCCAGGCGAAGAUACAACUUUACUGUUUUAAGUUUAGGAACUUGAAUUCCCUUCAGAGCUUUAGAGAACAUUAAGUUG
rnacentral:lncRNA from 1 species